rnacentral:rRNA from 1 species
UACGUAGGGGGCAAGCGUUGUCCGGAAUCAUUGGGCGUAAAGCGCGUGUAGGCGGCUCGAUAAGUCUGCUGUGAAAGUUCAGGGCUCAACCCUGAAAUGCCGGUGGAAACUGUCGAGCUAGAGUCCGGAAGAGGCGAGUGGAAUUCCUGGUGUAGCGGUGAAAUGCGUAGAGAUGUGGAGGAACACCAGUGGCGAAGGCGACUUUCUGGGCUGUAACUGACGCUGAGGCGCGAAAGCCAGGGGAGCAAACGGG